GCCCAUGUAGCGUAAUUGGUUAGCGCGUUGACUUCUAAUCAAGAGAUUCUGGGUUCUGAGUCCCAGCUGGGUGCA
rnacentral:tRNA from 1 species